rnacentral:rRNA from 1 species
CCCUUAGAUGUCCUGGGCCGCACGCGCGUUACACUGAUGCAUUCAACGAGCUUAUAACCUUGGCCGAGAGGCCUGGGCAAUCUUGUUAACGUGCAUCGUGAUAGGGAUAGAUUAUUGAAAUUAUUAAUCUUGAACGAGGAAUUCCUAGUAAACGCAGAUCAUCAAUCUGUAUUGAUUACGUCCCUGCCCUUUGUACACACCGCCCGUCGCACCUACCGAUUGAAUGCUCAGGUGAGCCAUUCGGACCUUCAUCAUGCCGGUUUCCGGUUUUGAUGAGGGAAAGUCUUGCGAACCUUAUCAUUUAGAGGAAGGAGAAGUCGUAACA